CAGUACAUAUUUUUUGCCUCUUAAAAGUUGGUAAAUGUAAUAUAUUACAGUGAUUACUUUGAAGCAAAUAAAGUUGUAGCUAGUGGUAGGGCUGUACAUGGUUUGGUUUGGGCAGGUUCAGUGUAUUUAGCCAAACCAAACCGACAAAGUCGGUUUUGAUAGUAUUCAAACCAAAACCAACAAAUUAAAUUACAAAACUGCAUAUCAAAGUUAUUAAAGGCUCAAGGUGCAGUAAGACGCCAAUGGGUCGCUUAGGCGAAGGCGCACGCCAGAAAGAG
rnacentral:misc_RNA from 1 species